UGAAAUUUGGAAUUCAGUGUCUGAGAUGGA
rnacentral:piRNA from 1 species